UCCCUCUCUCCCACACACUCUCUUCGUCUUCCCUCUCCAUUACACUUUGAUCCUGUUGUAUGGUUGAAUUAAUUUUUUUAUGGCUUAUACUUAUUUGUGCUGAAUUAUUUAUGUAUUUAUUGGGAUUGUGCCGAGUUUGCUUUGGAGGCUUCCCGAAGUAAUGGUUAUUCUGAUCUGGGAAGAAUGCUCCGAAAGCUGCAAAAUAUCAAUCCCACUCUCUCACUCUCUACCUUUUCACUUGCUUGAUGGUUGCUCUUGCUCCCCACUUUUGUUCAAUCACAUAGAGGUUUCAGGUUGCAGGAGCUGCUUUCAUCUUUGAGGUGCAAAGUAGUUCUAGAUCAGAAGCAAGGAAGGAAGAAAUACGUAGACUGGAAAUACAAGUUGUCUUUGAGGCUUCCUCCUUGUUUUGUGAAACUCUAUUAGUGAAUUUGUAGACAGCAAGAGGGUGGAUCAAGAGUUGCAACAGUUGAGAUACUCAACCACAUUCAGCUUUUCUCGAAAUAUGGAUGGACAGAAGAGUAGUGAUCGUGGCCAGAAAUGCACAUCAAGGCUUUGAAAGUUUUAUAUAUAUAUAUAUAUAUUGAUGUCACUAGUUAUAAUGUAUUUUAAGAGUCUAAUCUUUUACUGGUACUUAAACAUUGUGUUUUAGGCCGAUAUAAGGACAUGAUCUUAUUGUAUGUUGAUAUUGUCAACAUUAAUAUUAUUGAAACU